rnacentral:rRNA from 1 species
GACGAACGCUGGCGGCGUGCCUAAUACAUGCAAGUCGAGCGAAUGAAUGGGAGCUUGCUCCUGUUCGUUAGCGGCGGACGGGUGAGUAACACGUGGGCAACCUGCCUGUAAGACUGGGAUAACUUCGGGAAACCGGAGCUAAUACCGGAUAGUUUCUUUCUUCACAUGAAGAAGGAUGGACAGACGGUUUCGGCUGUCGCUUACAGAUGGGCCCGAGGCGCAUUAGCUAGUUGGUGAGGUAACGGCUCACCAAGGCGACGAUGCGUAGCCGACCUGAGAGGGUGAGCGGCCACACUGGGACUGAGACACGGCCCAGACUCCUACGGGAGGCAGCCGUAGGGAAUCGUCCGCAAUGAACGAAAGGCUGACGGAGCAACUCCGAGUGGGUGAAGAAGGUUUUCGGAUCGUAAAACUCUGUUGUCAGGGAAGAACAAGUACCAGAGUAACUGCUGGUACCUUGACGGUACCUGACCAGAAAGCCACGGCUAACUACGUGCCAGCCGCCGCCGUAAUAC